GUGAAAACUAAACAGAAAAAGGCGGGGAUAGUUUCUUUGUGUAGGCAGCAACGUGAAGAAAACAAACGUACCCGGGAACACGGUGCAGGGCGAGGAGACGGAACGAGGUCGGCACAUGAAGUUAGCAGACAGUUAGCAUGGACUCUACAGGACAAUAUUCCUAACCUGGAGGAAUUCUUUCCAUCUGUGGACACUUCCGGACUACAGGAAUAUUAAUAAGACAGGAAAGGACGGGGACUGGAGGUUUAGGACAGACUCCAGCUCAUCUGUGGGACGAGACCCUUCUGACUUCAGGACGUCCGUCUGAAUUAGUUCCCCCUGAAGAACAAGAAUGAGUUCUCCACAAAAGAGGAAGCAUUCCAGUGUCUCGCAAAGAGCAGACAUGGCGUCAGAUGAUGGUGGUGAACGAAGUGCCAUGCCCCCCCCACACCUCCUCUCAAACAAGCAACACUCAGCACCUCAGCAAUCACCCAAAGGAAAGUCACAUGUUAGAUGUAACAGCAAAUUCUUUACAGACACUUU